UAGAGUAAUGCGUGACCAACCUGCCCCAUGCUCCAGAAUAGCUCUUGGAAACGGGUGGUAAUGCUGGAUGCUCCAACUUGACGCAUGUCUUGUUGGGAAAGUGUUUAGUGGCAUGGGAUGGGGUCGCGUCCUAUCAGCUUGUAGGCGGGGUAAUGGCCCACCUAGGCUUCGACGGGUAGCCGGCCUGAGAGGGCGGACGGCCACAUUGGGACUGAGAUACGGCCCAGACUCCUACGGGAGCAGCAGAU
rnacentral:rRNA from 1 species